rnacentral:rRNA from 1 species
AGCGAACGCUGGCGGCAGGCUUAACACAUGCAAGUCGAGCGGGCACUUCGGUGUCAGCGGCAGACGGGUGAGUAACACGUGGGAACGUACCCUUUGGUUCGGAAUAACGCUGGGAAACUAGCGCUAAUACCGGAUACGCCCUUUUGGGGAAAGGCUUGCUGCCGAAGGAUCGGCCCGCGUCUGAUUAGCUAGUUGGUGGGGUAAUGGCCUACCAAGGCGACGAUCAGUAGCUGGUCUGAGAGGAUGAUCAGCCACACUGGGACUGAGACACGGCCCAAACUCCUACGGGAGGCAGCAGUGGGGAAUAUUGGACAAUGGGCGCAAGCCUGAUCCAGCCAUGCCGCGUGAGUGAUGAAGGCCUUAGGGUUGUAAAGCUCUUUUGUCCGGGACGAUAAUGACGGUACCGGAAGAAUAAGCCCCGGCUAACUUCGUG